rnacentral:rRNA from 1 species
UGGGGAAUUUUGGACAAUGGGCGCAAGCCUGAUCCAGCCAUGCCGCGUGAGUGAAGAAGGCCUUCGGGUUGUAAAGCUCUUUCGGCCGGGAAGAAAUCGUACAGGUUAAUACCCUGUGCGGAUGACGGUACCGGCAUAAGAAGCACCGGCUAACUACGUGCCAGCAGCCGCGGUAAUACGUAGGGUGCGAGCGUUAAUCGGAAUUACUGGGCGUAAAGCGUGCGCAGGCGGUUUUUUAAGAUAGGCGUGAAAUCCCCGGGCUCAACCUGGGAACUGCGCUUAUGACUGGAAGACUAGAGUAUGGCAGAGGGGGGUGGAAUUCCACGUGUAGCAGUGAAAUGCGUAGAGAUGUGGAGGAACACCGAUGGCGAAGGCAGCCCCCUGGGCCAAUACUGACGCUCAUGCACGAAAGCGUGGGGAGCAAACAGGAUUAGAUACCCCCGUAGUCC